AUUUCUUCCUUGACCGUUGGCAUUCCCAGGUCCCUUCGUAUAUCUUCGUUUCUGACGUACCAAGGUACGUUUACUAUUGUUCUAAGGAUUUUACCCUGUAUUACCUCUAUUUUGUUUAUAUGGCUCAUUGCUGCCGUCCCCCAUAAUGGUAUUCCGUACGUCCAGAUUGGUUUUAUGAUCGUUUUAUAUAUUUUUAAUUUAUUUUCUAU
rnacentral:misc_RNA from 1 species